UGAACGCUAGCGGCAGGCCUAAUACAUGCAAGUCGAACGGUAAAUAUUCAGCAAUGGAUAUGAGAGUGGCGCACGGGUGCGUAACGCGUAUGCAACCUGGCUAUAACAGGGGGAUAGCCCUGCGAAAGUGGGAUUAACACCGCAUAAGAUGGUACAGCUGCAUGGCUGAGCCAUUAAAUCUUAGGAGGUUAUAGAUGGGCAUGCGUGCCAUUAGCUAGUUGGCGGGGUAACGGUCCACCAAGGCGACGAUGGCUAGGGGGUCUGAGAGGAUGAUCCCCCACACUGGUACUGAGACACGGACCAGACUCCUACGGGAGGCAGCAGUAGGGAAUAUUGGGCAAUGGACGGAAGUCUGACCCAGCCAUGCCGCGUGCAGGAGGAAGGCCCUCUGGGUUGUAAACUGCUUUUAUUUGGGAAUAAACCUCUUUACGUGUAGAGAGCUGAAGGUACCAAAUGAAUAAGCACCGGCUAACUCCGUG
rnacentral:rRNA from 1 species